rnacentral:lncRNA from 1 species
AAAUCUCUCAAAACCAAACGUACCACAGCUUGGAGUGAGACUCAAUCUUACCUCUCAUUCAGAAAUUUCUAUGGUAAAGUAAAAACAAAAAAGCUAAGAAUAAUGGAAAUGGCUUACAAAAGUGUGGAAAUGGUGGUGGUGACUUUGAUCUCUGCCAUGCUGAUGACAGCCUCUGCAGGAGGAGGAGGAGCAGGAGCAGGAGAAGGAGGUGGCCAAAAGGCUAGAUUUGUAACAUGUAUCCGUGACUGUAUGCCUCUAUGCAUGCAAAUAAAAGACGUAACAGAAGCAGCCUGUGACAAAGCUUGUGAGCUUGGAUGCAAGCAGUUGCAAGGUAAAGGGCCUCCUUCGCGCGGAGUUCGUUUGUAUACGGAAGGAAAACCCGUUAAUAUUUCUGAUACAUCAAACUAAUGUUACUGUUCAGCAACCAGAAUAAUAAUCAGAAUAACUGUAAUGGUGUUUUUGUAAAGGCAAAAUAUGCACUUUUGUUCAAUCAAAACAGGGGAAAAUUAAGGUAUUGUAAACAUUGUUCAGAAUUAUAAUAUCUGUUGUAUUUUGUAUCAAUUAUACAUUAUAAUUUUACCUACCCUAACCCUAUGAUGCUUCCUUAUAACCAAAACUUUUUUGGGUGCAGAAUGCUGCUUUCUUUAAACACUGG